ensembl:lincRNA
CUCGUCCAAGGCAUUUGAACCUAAGUUUCAAGAGUCAUUUUGCUGAAUAAAGACUGGAAUGUACUCUCUGAUAUGUGUUUGGCAGGUAAGACAACCUGAUUUUUCUCCUGUGGAGAGCUGACUUCCUUUAAAUUUCUACUUCUAAUUGUUUUAACUACUGAGUUUCCCUCCUAGGUAUCUGGUGCUAUGUGGCUGGUCGUAACAUUGGCAGCAGCAACAGUGGCAAUAACAACAAAGAAUAUGCCAGUGUGUACGGUAUGCCAGGGCUGGACUUGGAGUUUCUACUUUUGUUUCAAAAAGAAAAUGCAAUAUUUGAAGGGAAUACUCAGUAACAAACAGGUGCACUGUGGCUGCUAUUCCCCAAACCCUCCAAAUCAUUUAACAGAUUUGCCUUGUGGCAUUUUUUUUUUUGUGGGGUUUUUGUGCAGACACAUGAGAGAGAAUCUCCAAUGGACUCCAUCAUAAAGGACCCCAAGAGGGGACACACAUCAACUUCAGCAUAAAAGAGAAACAAAAUGACCCUUAAGGAAGGCUGAAGAAACCAUCACCAUUUCAGUAGGCUGAAAUCACCGUCCAAUCUGUUCUCUCAGCUCCCCUUUGCCUACCACAUCCAAUUCCACAGCAAACUAAUUCACUUCCUGGAAGGGCUUUUAUGACCUAGAGCUGAGAAGACCUCUAAAACAAGUCUUCCAUUCCUCCGUCAAGCCUGGUUCAGCUUCCCCACCCACAGUGCCCUUUCUAGUUUUUCCUUAACUUGAAAUGUCUGACGCUUGUAUUUUCCUUUCUUACUGUUAUCCCAUUACUUCUAGUUUCAACCCCUUCUGUCAUGCCAACUAAUUCCUCUCUGUCCUUUGUAGACAAUUAUAUCAUCUUUAGUCCUUCCUUGGAUUUUAUUUUCCAUCCACAUAAGUCACCCCCGUGGCCAUUCUGUAAUUCUUUUUGCCUUGCUCUGAACUCUGCACCAUCUAGCUCUCUCACUGUGGGUCUCCAAAGCCCAAAUGGCCCCUCCUGAUUUGGGGCUUAACCUGGACUGAGAAAGGAAGCAGCAUUCUCUCUCUUUAUUAAUAGGGGCUAUUUUGCCAGAACUUUCAAAUGGCAUUUUGUGAAUUAACUUUGGCUCUGUGAGGUUGCCAUAGAAAUAAUUCUUAGUUAUUUGUAAGUUUUCACCUGUGCCUGGCAUCAUACUACUCUCUAAAUCACUACUGUCUAAUAAAAAUCAAAUGUAAACUACACAUGUAAUAUUAAAUUUUCUAGUAACCACAUUAAAGAAGCAGAAAGACACAGGGA